rnacentral:misc_RNA from 1 species
UUUCCGUAGGUGAACCUGCGGAAGGAUCAUUAAAAAAUUGGACUCCAUUGGUGAGUUCAUUAAUAAUCCUACCCUUUGUGAAUUUGUUUGUUUGAAUAAUUUUUUUUCCAAAAAAAAUUAUUGAAUGUCUUUCCCUGUUUUGGUGGAGCUUGUAAAGUGAAACCAGGCAGGGGAAUGGCAAACAAUAAUUAUUUUUGAAAAAAGACCUUUUUUUAAAAUUAAACUUUUUGUAUUCAUUUGUCUAAAAUUAUUUUUAUAAUAUAAAAACAACUUUUGACAAUGGAUCUCUUGGUUCUCGCAACGAUGAAGAACGCAGCAAAAUGCGAUAAGUAGUGUGAAUUGCAGAAUACGUGAAUCAUCGAAUCUUCGAACGCAUAUUGCACUUUUUUAGUUUACUAAAAAAGUAUGUCUGUUUGAGUAUCAGUAAAAUAUUCUCAUAAAAAACAUUGCUUUUUUAUGGUUAUGAGUGUUUUACAACGAUAACAAGUUGUUUCACUUUAAAUUCUUUGUUAUCAAAAAAAUCAUUAAAAGCUAGUUUUAAAGAUUUUUAAAAUUGGAUAAAAUUUUCCCGUAAAAAGGAAUAACCUAAACAAUUUUAAAAAUUAAAAUUGGUUUGAUUUUUUUUGAAACCCAAAGGAAAAAAAACGAAAUUAACUUGAUCUCAAAUCAGAUAAGAGUACCCGCUGAACUUAAGCAUAUCAAUAAGCGGAGGAAAAGAAACUAACUAGGAUUCCCUCAGUAACGGCGAGUGAAGCGGGAAGAGCUCAAAUUUGAAAUCUUCAAGGUUUUACCUUGACGAAUUGUAGUUUAAAGAAGUGUUUUCUGUUGGAGUUUUGGUAAAAGUUCUUUGGAAAGGGACAUCAUAGAGGGUGAGAAUCCCGUAUUUGACCAUUAUCUCCAGCUUUGUGAUACACUUUCAAAGAGUCGGAUUGUUUGGGAAUGCAGUCCAAAAUGGGUGGUAAAUUUCAUCUGAAGCUGAAUACUGGCGAGAGACCGAUAGCGAACAAGUACCGUGAGGGAAAGAUGAAAAGAACUUUGAAAAGAGAGUUAAACAGUACGUGAAAUUGUCAAAAGGGAAGCGUUUGACACCAGUGUUGUUUUCUCGAAAAUCAAUUAAAAAAGGCCGGAUUUUGUGUUGUAUUGACUUUAUCAGCUUUCUGCACUUUUUUCUUGUCUUUUUUAAUGCACUUUUCGUUUAACAAGUCAACAUCAAUUUCUUUUGUUGUAAAAGGGUCAUUGGAAGGUGGCUUUCUUUCGGAGAAAGUGUUUAUAGCCUUUGGCCUCUGCAAUCGGAGAGAUUGAGGUCUGCAGCGUAGAUCCUUCGGGUUAGAUACAUUUGUGCUAAGUUAUAGCCUUUCAUAGACAACUUGUUGACUAUGAUCAGUCAUGUAGCUUACUCGCUUAUGCUAUUUUACCUACGCUUAGGAUGUUG